rnacentral:rRNA from 1 species
AGCAGCCGCGGUAAUUCCAGCUCCAAUAGCGUAUAUUAAAGUUGUUGCAGUUAAAAAGCUCGUAGUUGAAUUUUAGUCCUGGCCGGGCGGUCCGUCUUUGGCGAGUACUGUCCUGUGUCGGGUCUUCCUUCUGGUGAACCAGUAUGUCCUUUAUUGGGUGUGCCGGGGAGCCAGGACCAUUACCUUGAAAAAAUUAGAGUGUUUAAAGCGGGCAUUUGCUUGAAUAGAUUAGCAUGGAAUAAUAGAAUAGGACGUUGUGGUUCUAUUUUGUUGGUUUCUAGGACCACCGUAAUGAUUAAUAGGGAUAGUUGGGGGCAUUAGUAUUCAAUUGUCAGAGGUGAAAUUCUUGGAUUUAUUGAAGACUAACUACUGCGAAAGCAUUUGCCAAGGAUGUUUUCAUUAAUCAAGAACGAAAGUUAGGGGAUCGAAGACGAUCAGAUACCGUCGUAGUCUUAACCAUAAACUAUGCCGACUAGGAAUCGGGCGACGUUAUUUUCAUGACUCGCUCGGCGCCUUAUGG